rnacentral:rRNA from 1 species
AUUGAACGCUGGCGGCAGGCUUAACACAUGCAAGUCGAGCGGAGAUGAGGUGCUUGCACCUUAUCUUAGCGGCGGACGGGUGAGUACUGCUUAGGAAUCUGCCUAUUAGUGGGGGACAACAUUCCGAAAGGAAUGCUAAUACCGCAUACGCCCUACGGGGGAAAGCAGGGGAUCUUCGGACCUUGCGCUGAUAGAUGAGCCUAAGUCGGAUUAGCUAGUUGGUGGGGUAAAGGCCUACCAAGGCGACGAUCUGUAGCGGGUCUGAGAGGAUGAUCCGCCACACGAGGACUGAGACACGGCCCAGACUCCUACGGGAGGCAGCAGUGGGGAAUAUUGGACAAUGGGCGGAAGCCUGAUCCAACCAUGCCGCGUGUGUGAAGAAGGCCUUUUGGUUGUAAAGCACUUUAAGCGAGGAGGAGGCUACCUGGAUUAAUACUCUAGGAUAGUGGACGUUACUCGCAGAAUAAGCACCGGCUAACUCUGUGCCAGCCGCCGCCGUAAGAC